rnacentral:rRNA from 1 species
CGAGACUGCCGGUGAUAAACCGGAGGAAGGUGGGGAUGACGUCAAGUCAUCAUGCCCCUUAUGACCUGGGCUACACACGUGCUACAAUGGACGAUACAACGAGUCGCGAAACCGCGAGGUUAAGCUAAUCUCUUAAAGUCGUUCUCAGUUCGGAUUGCAGGCUGCAACUCGCCUGCAUGAAGUCGGAAUCGCUAGUAAUCGCGGAUCAGCAUGCCGC